rnacentral:rRNA from 1 species
UACGUAGGGGGCAAGCGUUGUCCGGAUUUAUUGGGCGUAAAGAGCGUGUAGGCGGUCAGGUAGGUCCGUUGUGAAAACUCGAGGCUCAACCUCGAGACGCCGAUGGAAACCAUCUGACUAGAGUCCGGAAGAGGAGAGUGGAAUUCCUGGUGUAGCGGUGAAAUGCGUAGAGAUCCGGAGGAACACCGACGGCGUAGGCAGCGCCCUGGCUGUGAAUAAAGCUGACACUGAGGCACGAAAGCUGGGGGAGCAAACAGG